rnacentral:rRNA from 1 species
AUCUAUGGCCAUACCACCCUGAAGGCACCUGAUGUCAUCUGAUCUUGGAAGCUAAGCAGAGUUGAGCCUGGUUAGUACUUGGAUGGGAGACAACCUGGGAAUACCAGGUGCUAUAGGCU